GUGCCAGCAGCCGCGGUAAUACGAAGGGGGCUAGCGUUGCUCGGAAUUACUGGGCGUAAAGGGCGCGUAGGCGGAUGUUUAAGUCGGGGGUGAAAGCCCGGGGCUCAACCUCGGAAUUGCCUUCGAUACUGGACAUCUUGAGUACGGGAGAGGUGAGUGGAACUCCGAGUGUAGAGGUGAAAUUCGUAGAUAUUCGGAAGAACACCAGUGGCGAAGGCGACUCACUGGCCCGUUACUGACGCUGAGGCGCGAAAGCGUGGGGAGCAAACAGGAUUAGAUACCCUGGUAGUCC
rnacentral:rRNA from 1 species